CGGCCGUUGCAGUCGGUGGAGACGGCGACGCCGAGGUUGGUCUCCUCGUCGAUCCGGAUCAUCCCGGAGUCGGCCGGC
rnacentral:tRNA from 1 species